GACGAACGCUGGCGGCGUGCUUAACACAUGCAAGUCGAACAGUGAAGCACCUUCCUUUUGGUGGGUGUGGAUGAGUGGCGAACGGGUGAGUAACACGUGAGUAACCUGCCCCCUUCUUCUGGAUAACCGCAUGAAAGUGCGGCUAAUACGGGAUAUUCUGUGCCUGCUGCAUGGUGGGUGUGGGAAAGAUGCGCUUUUGGGUGUUUUUGGUGGGGGAUGGGCUCGCGGCCUAUCAGCUUGUUGGUGGGGUGAUGGCCUACCAAGGCGGUGACGGGUAGCCGGCCUGAGAGGGUGGACGGUCACACUGGGACUGAGACACGGCCCAGACUCCUACGGGAGGCAGCAGUGGGGAAUAUUGCACAAUGGGCGCAAGCCUGAUGCAGCGACGCCGCGUGAGGGAUGGAGGCCUUCGGGUUGUAAACCUCUUUCGCCAGUGAAGCAGGCCUGUCCCUUGUGGGUGGGUUGACGGUAGCUGGAUAAGAAGCGCCGGCUAACUACGUG
rnacentral:rRNA from 1 species